rnacentral:rRNA from 1 species
CCUACGUGCGGCAGCAGUGGGGGAUAUUGCACAAUGGGCGAAAGCCUGAUGCAGCGACGCCGCGUGAGGGAAGACGGUCUUCGGAGUGUAAACCUCUGUCUGUGGGGAAGAAAAUGACGGUACCCAAAGAGGAAGCUCCGGCUAACGACGUGCCAGCAGCCGCGGUAAUACGGAGUGAGCAAGCGUUGUCCGGAAUUACUGGGUGUAAAGGGAGCGGAGGCGGGAUGGCAAGUAGAAUGUGAAAUCCCUCGGCUCAACCGGUGGCUGCGUUCUAAACUGCCGUUCUUGAGUGCAGUAGAGGCAGGCGGAAUUCCUAGUGUAGCGGUGACAUGCGUAUAUAUUAGUCGGAUCCCCAGUGGCGAAGGCGGCCUGCUGCGCUUUACCUGACGCUGCGGCUCGAAAGCGUGGGGAGCAAACAGGAUUAGAUACCCUUGUAGUC